GUCAAAUAUCGGAAGAGGCAGCAGAAGCGAAAAACAAAUACAUUCGACUAUAUCUGCAAAAUUUUGGACAUAUUAAACAGGUUGCUUUUGAAAUAUGAUCCAGUAAUGACUGAUAUGAGACCACACAGGAGGAAAACAUCCGAACCUUUUGCGAGUGAAACUUUUUCCAUGCUCGAAUCUAGUGGCCAUGACUUACCUGACAUCCUAUCUGAUGACGAUUUUUAGGUUCUGAGAACUAAAUAUGUGGUUGGUAUUGAACUCACAUAUGAACGACAACCAUACUUCAGCCACUUGAAACAAGUCAGAAUCUCUCUAAUGUGUGCAACAGAAACCAGUAUAUCGCUCGCCAAAUGAAAACUCGAUGUGAAAUAAAGGAAAAACAGUAACUUUUUCGUGAAAAUUGAAAAUAAUCCUAAUCCCUUCAUAAUUUUGUUAAUUUAAUUAAAAAAAAAGUUGA